rnacentral:rRNA from 1 species
AUGAGAUCUCACCCUCUCAUUGAUUUGUUCAUACCAACUAUCGACAGCGAGCACGGCAUAUGCUACACCCAUCCUGAGAAACUUCCAGGUAUCACACUGAGUGGCCUAAGCAAGCAUUUAUUCCAGCACAAUUGCAGGGCAUUCAAAAGGGGCACGUGGACGCGUCGCAAGAUACAGUCGGAGUGCGGCAUGCACGCGAUGUGGCACAAGACAGCGAAUACCUUGCCGGUGGUGGUCAACGGCCGGCAGACAAGGAGCAAAAAGGUUCUGGUGCUGCACACCAACAAGAACUUCGACCAGCAGAGGACCAACCGGGUGAUGCACCGGUACCACCUCGGGGACCUGGAGCAAGAGAAGGAGCGGGAGCUGGUCCUCUGCAAGAUUUUCUACCAGAUAAACACUAGGGCCAGGAGUAAAAAGAUUAUAAGUUAG